CCUACGGGUGGCAGCAGUGGGGAAUAUUGCACAAUGGGGGAAACCCUGAUGCAGCGACGCCGCGUGAGUGAAGAAGUAUCUCGGUACGUAAAGCCCUAUCAGCCGGGAAGAUAAUGCCGCUACCUGACCAAGAAGCCCCGGCUAACUACGUGCCAGCAGCCGCGGUUAUACGUCGGGGGCCAGCGUUAUCCGGAUUUACUGGGUGUAAAGGGAGCGUAGACGGUGCGCCAAGUCUGGAGGGAAAUGCCGGAGGGUAACUGCGGAACUGCUGUGGAAACUGGCGAACUAGAGUGCGGGAGGGGUAAGCGGAAUGCCUGGUGUAGCGGUGAAAUGCGUAGAUAUUAGGAGGAACACCGGUGGCGAAGGCGGCUUACUGGACCGUAACUGACGUUGAGGCUCGAAAGCGUGGGGAGCGAACAGGAUUAGAUACCCGGGUAGUC
rnacentral:rRNA from 1 species